UGGGGAAUAUUGCACAAUGGGCGCAAGCCUGAUGCAGCCAUGCCGCGUGUAUGAAGAAGGCCUUCGGGUUGUAAAGUACUUUCAGCGAGGAGGAAGGCGUUGUGGUUAAUAACCGCAACGAUUGACGUUACUCGCAGAAGAAGCACCGGCUAACUCCGUGCCAGCAGCCGCGGUAAUACGGAGGGUGCAAGCGUUAAUCGGAAUUACUGGGCGUAAAGCGCACGCAGGCGGUCUGUCAAGUCGGAUGUGAAAUCCCCGGGCUCAACCUGGGAACUGCAUCCGAAACUGGCAGGCUAGAGUCUUGUAGAGGGGGGUAGAAUUCCAGGUGUAGCGGUGAAAUGCGUAGAGAUCUGGAGGAAUACCGGUGGCGAAGGCGGCCCCCUGGACAAAGACUGACGCUCAGAUGCGAAAGCGUGGGGAGCAAACA
rnacentral:rRNA from 1 species